GCGCUCGCCUCAGCAGCACAUAUACUAAAAUUGGAACAAUACAGAGAAGAUUAUCAUGGCCCUGUGCAAGGAUGAUAUGCAGAUGCAUGGAGUAUUGCCUGUUUUU
rnacentral:snRNA from 1 species